rnacentral:tRNA from 1 species
AGCCCUAAAUUCAAUAAAUGAUUGUAGAAUGCAAUUCUAUAGAAGUGAUAAGUAAUUGGUUCACUAAGGCUU